UCAAGUAAAUAUUUUUUUCGGAAGCACUCUUGAAAGUCCUCAUUCGGAACUUGACAGCAUCAUGUUUAUGAAGCGGCCAUAUUAUCACUGAUACUGCGGUUGGAACCCAGAUAAAGCAGAGAGUCAUACAUUUGUUUAUGAAUUGGUAAUAACAGUGAAAUAUUCCAAAAAAGAAAUGUAUAAGGAAGCAACGUGCAAACCAACAAAGUACCUGACAUGGUGGACCUUCAAGAGUUGAAGAUAUGGUUAUCUGAAAUUAUGGGUUUAUGAAUUUGAACAGCUUUUAAUAUACCAGCAGUUCCAACAGCAUGGUUCCUGCAAUUAAAAAAAAAGAGAUAGGAACAAACCAGCUAGUAUAGGCCAAAAGAACAAAGUAAAGAACAGCGUUGUAACCACAGAUGGGAUUCAUUUAAUUGUUAGUCUGUUAAUUAAUUGAUAAAUUAGAUGUUUAAUUCUAUUAUAUAAUUAGUUCAUGACAAAUAAGAAUGCUCUUCAAAAAAACUUGGUGUGUUGUAGUUGGUUAUGGAAAUACAAUUUGUCUUUGAAUAGUUAGUCCUUUCCUAUCCAAAUCUAUUUUAUUGGGUCGAUCAGCUCGACAGAUAUUAUUGUCAACUUUUUUUAAACUAGUUUAUUGUGAAUUCUAUUUUCUCACAUUAAUUAAGUUUGUUUUAAACUAGUUCAUUGCAUUAAAAGUCAAUGUAUUGUAUUUUAAUAUGUAUAUUGACAUCACGUUGUCGUUGUCCCAAGAGUGAAGACAUUUGGUUUUCCCACAAUUACUUUAGUAUAUAAAGUAAAUAGAAAUUUAUGAAAUUUAAACACAAUUAAGGUUUAUGAGACAAAAAAAGGAUGGUUGGGAUUGAUUUUAGGAGUUUUGGACCUAACAAUUUUAGGAAUAAGGGAUAAAAAAGGGCCCAAUGAAGCAUUUUUCUUGGUUUUCGCACAAUAACUUUAGUAUAAGUAAAUAGUAAUCUAUGAAACUUAAACAAAGGUUUAGGACCACAAAAGGAAGGCUAAGAUUGAUUUUUAAAAUUUUGGUCCCAAUAGUUUAGGAAUUAGGGGCCAAAAGGGUCAUGAACAUAACUUAGUUUGAUUUUAACAAAAAUUGAAUUCUUUAGGUUCUUUGAUAUGCCGAAUUUAAUUUUGUAUUUAGAUUUUUUUAUUUUUUUUUCCUGUUUUCAAAUUGGUCUACAUUAAGGUCCAAAGGGUCUAAAAUUAAACUUAGUUUGAUUUUAAUAAAAAUUGAUUUCUUGAGGUUCUUUGAUAUGCUAAAUUUGAACAUGUACUUAGAUUUUUUAUUAUGGGCCCAGUUUUCAAUUUGGUACAAAUUAGGGUCGAAAAUUCAACAAAAAUUGAAUAUAUUUGGUUCCUUGAAUUUAUAGUUUUGAUAUUUGGGACCUGUUAUCAAAUUGGUUCACAUAGAAUUUUAUAGGGUCCCAAUUUGAAAUUUAUUUGGUUUCAUCAAAAAUUGAAUUCUUUGGUUCUUUGAUAAGCUGAAAAUAACCAUGUAUUUAGAUUUUGGAUAUUGGACCAUAAAAAGUAAAUGUCCAAUUCAAAAUUUUUAAGUUCUUAUUAAACCACAUUCAUUCUCUGUCAACUAUUUAAUCACAUUCCAAAUUCAGAGUUGUAUUUAAUAGGCUUGAUUGUUGUGUCCAUA